GGUUUUGAGUUCUGGUUCUGGUCAUGGAGGUGAGGCGCCUAAGCAAUCUGUUCCGAAUAAGGUGGAUUUUCUGUUUGGUUUGGAGAAAGGGGGAAUCGCGCCUCCUCCGCCGCCUGUGGCGCUUAAAUUGCACGAUCCAUUACCUGAGCCGGCCGCACAGCCGAUUGAGCCUGUUGCUAGACCUGUUCCGGGAGAUCGGAUCGCUGCAUCGGAUCCUGUGGUUCAUCCGGCUGAGAUUCAGCGGCAAUUGCAGGAAUUACAGAGGUUGCAUAUUAGUGAACAGGAGCAAGCCGCGGCGUAUCGGAGGAAAUCUGAAGAGAAUAAUCUUAUUGGAGGCUACGGCGGUGAUUUCUACGCACAGAAGGCGAUGGAGAAGGCUCCGCAGCCGAACGCGCCUCAAGCCUUACAGCCACCGCCUGGAUACUGGCAGGAGAAGCAGGUUUCUAGCGGAGGUUUUCCGGCGACGGUGACGGCCACACCCGGCGGACCGGACCAACCGCCGGUCUAUAUGAUCCACCAUCCCGGUGCUGUCUAUCACUCCCCUCAACAUCCGAUGGUGAGACCGGUUGCCGCUCCGCCGCCCAAUCAAGGCUACUACGCUAUGCAGCGUAUGGCCUCAGAUAUGUACCGUGAGCAACCGGUCUAUAAUGUUGUACAAUCUCCA
rnacentral:misc_RNA from 1 species